rfam:Candidatus Carsonella ruddii DC, complete genome.
CGGAACAUAGCGUAGUCUGGUAACGUACUUGCUUUGGGAGUAAGUGAUCAAAGGUUCAAAUCCUUUUGUUCCGA